UAAGAGAUGGACAAAGUCCUAGGGUGACA
rnacentral:piRNA from 1 species